rnacentral:rRNA from 1 species
AACGAACGCUGGCGGCAGGCUUAACACGUGCAAGUCGAACGGUUGUAGCAAUACAGCAGUGGCGCACGGGUGAGUAACGCGUGGAUAUCUGCCUCUUGGUUCGGAAUAACUCCGGGAAACUGGAGCUAAUACCGGAUGGUUCCUACGGGAUAAAGAUUUAUCGCCAAAAGAUGAGUCCGCGUACGAUUAGCUAGUUGGUGGGGUAAUGGCCCACCAAGGCGACGAUCGUUAGCUGGUCUGAGAGGACGAUCAGCCACACUGGGACUGAGACACGGCCCAGACUCCUACGGGAGGCAGCAGUGGGGAAUAUUGGACAAUGGGGGCAACCCUGAUCCAGCCAUGCCGCGUGAGUGAUGAAGGCCUUCGGGUUGUAAAGCUCUUUUGGCGGGGACGAUGAUGACGGUACCCGCAGAAUAAGCCCCGGCUAACUUCGUGCCAACCGCCGCCGUAA